rnacentral:lncRNA from 1 species
CUUUAUAAUCUACUUAGAGAAUUCAUUUAAAAUAACAAAUAUAUUAUCAUUUGAUAAUAUAUUUGCUGGUUUAGCAUUUGAAUGAAAUUAACAAGUUAAAAAGGAAGCUUUCACUAUCUUUAUCACUCUAAUUUUAGAAGAGGUUUGUAAUUAAAAUACAACAAAAAAAUUAGCCAGGCGUGGUGGUGGGCAUCUGUAGCCCCAGCUGCUUGGAAGGCUAAGACAGGAGAAUCACUUGAACCCAGGAGGUGGAGGUUGCAGUUAGCCGAGAUUGUGCCACUGCACGCUAGCCUGGGCCACAGAGUGAGACUUCAUGUCCCCCCGCCCCGACCCCCCGCAAAAAAAAAAAAUGUAUUUUCAACAUUGAAAAUUUCACAAAGGAGUAGAUUUUAGAUCAGGUCUGAUGUAUUUUGAGGUCCAAUGCUGGUUGAUGUUCUCGUAUAUUAUUAUCAUUAAUAUUUUUAAUACCAACAGUGGUUAUAACAGCCAGAUCCUGAGAAUUUUUCAAAUUUGAGAUCUCACAUAGAGAGUAUAAGACUUAAUAACUGCCAUCAAGUAAUAUUUAGGUCACACAAAACAUUGCAAUUUCUGCUAUGCUUAUUG